GCAUAGGGUCUUGCAGAGUAUAACCUCUGCAUCGUCUUCUUCUUCCUCACUUCUUCUUCUCCAGCAUAUACCCAGCCACUUCUACAGCAGAGAAAACCCACGAAAACCCUCGCCAACCACCUCUAAAAACCCACAUAUCUCACUCAUUUCUUCACCAUUUCACCUCAUUUUUGUCUUAAAAGUUUCUAUUUUCAAUAUCUAAUCCCAUACACUAAAAAAGUUUUGUUUUUUCACCCAUUUACACUGUACCCGAACCUAUUUUAAAAAAAAGUGGUGGUUUAACUCCGACCACCGCUUUUAGCGGAGAAAUCGUUCAAUCUCAACGUUCAUUAAGGUGGCCGGAUUUUUGGUCGCAAUUUGUCGCCGGAUUGCGUUUAUAAGGUUGUGUGCUAAUAUUUGAGAGUCGAUCGACAUAUUUCGGUGUUGAUCGGAUUUGCAAUAGAUAUGGCCAACUCGAGUUCGGGAUCUGAUUCAGACCCAGAGGCAGAGUGUCCAACCACAAUACCUACACGAGGGCCGACGCAAAUGAAUGAAAUAUCCAAACUAAUGGAUCAGGGCAAAAGAGUGGCCCUCGAAGUUAAUGAUAAAGGUCAAUACUGUGGAAAAAGCUACGCGAAGCUCGUAUCCACUCUGGGAGUCAGAUGUCGGCAGACAAUAGGGUUGGCUUAUAAAAAUUGGAAAGA